rnacentral:rRNA from 1 species
GAGAACGCUGUCGGCGUGCCUAACACAUGCAAGUCGUAUGGGCAUUAGGCUGGUUACUUUUGGAACUGGUGCUGGCGACCGGCGAACGGGUGAGUAACACGUGAGCAACCUACCCCGAGGAGGGGGAUAACCCGGGGAAACCCGGGCUAAUACCCCAUAAGCGCACGGCCUGCAUGGGCAGUGUGAAAAGGGUGGCCUCUGCUUUGCAAGCUGCCGCNUCGGGAUGGGCUCGCGUCCCAUCAGGUAGUUGGUGGGGUAACNGCCCACCAAGCCUACGACGGGUAGCCGGCCUGAGAGGGUGGUCGGCCACACCGGGACUGAGACACGGCCCGGACCCCUACGGGGGGCAGCAGUGGGGAAUCGUGGGCAAUGGGCGAAAGCCUGACCCCGCGACGCCGCGUGGGGGAUGAAGGCCCUUGGGUCGUAAACCCCUGUCAGGAGGGAAGAACGGCUCGGUGGUGAAUAAUCACCGGNUCUGACGGUACCUCCAGAGGAAGGGACGGCUAACUACGUGCCAGCAGCCGCNGUAAUACGUA